rfam:Rhizophagus irregularis DAOM 181602 strain DAOM 197198 GLOINscaffold_17929_Cont17870, whole genome shotgun sequence.
GCCCGGCUAGCUCAAUCGGUAGAGCGUGAGACUCUUAAUCUCAAGGUUGUGGGUUCGACCCCCACGUUGGGCG